UAAUAUCAUUAUCUCUCCUCUCUUCUCUCUUCUCUCUUCGGCCGCAGGUCUCCGAUGGCGCCGUUGACUCAGUCUGUCCUCAGCCUCCUCUCCGCCGCUUUCCUCCUUGGCUUCCUCUCUGAUCCGGCCGCUGCUCGUCCCUGCAAAACCCUUUUCAUCUCCUCCUACUCCGUAUCCUUCCACCCCAAUUUCCCCGAUCAAAAUAACCCUAACUCCGCAGGCACCGCCGGAAUUCUCACGAUUUUCACUGAGAUCCGGCAAUUUAACCCCCGUCCGCCGCUCACCUUCGUCGACGCCGUCGAGGAUCAGCACCCGAUCGAGCGUCCGCCGCGAUUUGGCCUCGGUCUAGGGUUCGACUCCGACUCCCUCCGCGACCGCACCAAGGACGUGCUCAGCGUUGUUGUGGCGCUGCUCUUCGGCGUCGGCUGUGGCGCUCUCACCGCCGCAACCAUGUACUUGGGUUGGUCGCUCUUCUCCAACCGCCACCGCUACUCCGACUUCGAUUACGAUGACUUUGAGGAUGAUGACGUUGACAUGAGCCCUAAGAAGGUGGGCUAUGUGAGGAUCCCUCCUCCUGCUGAUGC
rnacentral:lncRNA from 1 species